GAUGGUUUACUUACAAAUCGAUAAGUCGUCUAUUUUGUUUCUCAAAUAGUCUAUUGCAAAGCGAAGGGAAAUGGACACUGUAGGCCAGCGGAGCAAGGAGUACCACUUCCUCCCGAUUCAGCACAUACCUGCCGCCAACUCGGGACCUCUGCCUUGCUAGCACACGUGACUGCCCUCCUGAAGAGGCGCCACGCUAAAAGCUAGCUAUUCGCUGGUGAAAGUGGAGACACUUGGCUGAGGACUCUCCCUUUUCUUGGAUUGAGCCUGUUCAGGUCGUAAAAGGGGCCCAGAAAGAGGAGGACGUCGAACCCAGACACCAAGACGGACCCCUGGCCUCCCCCUCAACCGGCUAGACUCCAGACUGCAGACACCCCUGCAUGGACCAGCACAAACCAGACACAGACAAUACCAGAGCAGCUCACUUUCACAGCUUUGAUUUACAGAGUUAUAUAGAGGCCAGAGUUCACCUUCAUAUAAGACUGCCCAUUCUCAUAACCUCACUGCCUAACACUUUAACCAUGUAAAAAUGUCAAUGUAAUGUAAUGCAACCCCAGUCACUCGCUCAAAGCAGUCCACUCUAUGGGGAACAAAACAUAUAUCUUUAUAGAGUGAGUCGUGUCCCACUCAGUCCUUCAGAGAAUCUUGGUUAUCCUUUGGUUUACCAUGAUUCUACCCUACCCUCAUAAGAACGAUGAACUCUUACUGACCAUAGAGAUAUACACUGAGUAUACCAAACAUUAGGAAUACCUUCCUAGUAUUCUAGGGUAGUGUAAUAGUUGUGUUACAGUGUGUAAAGCCAAUUUAAGUAAGUUGUGGGCCAUUCUGGAUCAGAUCAAGCUUACUUUACUGUUAAGACAAAGUAAGGUUUGUUUGAAGCCUGUUGUGGGAUAAAAGGGAGGUAUGUAGUAAACUGUGGAUUAGGGUCGUUUUGUAGAGGGAUAUAACCCCCAGAAUGAGAUUGGAUUUUGGUUUUGGAAUUUGGUUUUGGACAGGCAUACCUGCACAUGCUAAUAUGUCUGCAUACCAAAUGAGCACCCUAUAUUCACUACAUAAUGCACUACUUUGACAUAAUACAGGUAAAACCCUGUCGGUGAUUCUCCAUCCCUCUCUCCCUACAUCCCUCUUUCCUUCUUACGCACAUUCCUCUUGCUAACUCCCCUUCUCUCUCUCUCCAUCACUAUCUAUUCUGUCUGUCUCUGGGUGCCUCAGCUGAGUAGCUCAGUUGCUGCAAUGAUACAUGAUCUGGUUUUCAAUGCUUGAGCAGUGCUGCUAGUUAGAGGGGGAAGGAAGAAACACUGUGCUAUGGUAUGGGAACUCAUACCAUAGCACAGACAGACAGUUAUCUACAAGCCCAGGAUCCACCAUAGAGAGAGAGUACAUUUUCUUCCUUAUAAUGUAUACCCUCCCCCCAAGUAGACUUUCUUCAACACACCACCAUCUCCCUCCUCCAACUCAUCCUUGAUCUUCUCCCCAUUUCUGGGCCCCAGAGCCACCCUGUAACCCUGCACCCCCUUUCCCAUCCCGCCCUCUGCAUCCCAUAGCCCCCCUGUAUCCUUCCCCUCUCCUCAUUCUACAACCCAAAGCCAUGCUGUACCCCCUUUCCUUCCACCCCCUUCUGCACCCCAAAUUCACCCUGCACUCCCAUCCCAUCCCCCUCUUCUGCACCCCUUUGCCCCCUCCUCCUCAGUGCCAUGUUCUCUCCGUUCAUCUGCCAGUGUCCUCCUGUCUGUGGGGCCAAUGAGGUCAGCAGUUUGAUAAACACAUAAAUCAGCCAUGCUACACCAUGAAGGCCCCCGAUGGCCCCUGGUGGCCCAUGACACUAGUUCCCACAGCCGGCCUGUCUGUCACUCCAACUGACUGACAACAGUCACCCUCUUCACACCCCUCCCACCCCUUCAUCCCCAUCCCUGCCCCCCACCCUGGACAGUUGACAAUCCGUUAGAGAAGGGAUGGGCGUCUCUUUCUCUCCCUCUCUAACUCACUCUCGAUCUUCUCCCCCUUUCUGGCCUCCAGAGCCACCCUGAAGAGCCUAAAAGAAAUCAGAUAAUUCUGGAUCCUAUUUCAUCAAUCAUCAAAAUAUCAAUCAUGCAUUUCCUGGAUAUGUUAGAUGAAAUAGCUUACUUUGUGAAUCAUAGGCUCCCAUCUCAGUUGUCCUACUUGGUACUGGAAUUUAAAAAAUGUAAAGUAGGCCUAACUGUCCAUACAAAAUGUAUAUAUUGUUGUACUUGAUGUUGUUGAGCAAAGUAGUUACAUUUAUCACAAUAUCACUUUUUCUCCACAACGCCCAGCUCUAACACCUCCCCCAAAAAUGACUUAUGGUAAUUGUUUCGGUGAUUUAUCAUUGUCACAAAAAAUGGGUAGAUUUAUUACGAUAUGUUUUUUUUGUCCAUAUCACCCAUCUCUACCCUGAUGCCACCCUUCCCCUUGCAAAAUGACACAGAUGCUCCUGUGAAGCCAGUGCCCUAUACUACCAAUCAGGUUUGAGGAGUUAGCGAAGUAACUUUGGUCAACUCUGAAUUCAACUCGGGAUAACAGGUACCACAAAAGUGGUUCAAACUUUAGCCAGGUACGUUUCUAUGGCAACCAAUCAUUCAGAACUAAUCUGCUCCAGGACAGGCUAACUCAGGGCUAACUCCAUUUAUCCUGAAGGAAGUGUCUGAGCUGCGAGUUGAGGACCAAUUAAAUCAGAUUCAAGUCAAAUGUUUUAUUUGUCACAUGCGCCGAAUACAAGCCCUUAACCAACAAUGCAGCUUUAAGAAAAUAAAGUUAAGAAAAUAUUUACUAUGUAAAUAGUCCGGG